GGGGCGCCGAUCACUGCUCCGUCGCCGCCCGCGAGGCCCGCCAUGGCCACGGGCUCUGGAGGCCAGCGCCC
ensembl:misc_RNA